rnacentral:rRNA from 1 species
UGGCGGACGGGUGAGUAACGCGUGGAAAACCUGCCGUAUACUGGGGGAUAACACUUAGAAAUAGGUGCUAAUACCGCAUAGGCGCACAGCUUCGCAUGAAGCGGUGUGAAAAACUCUGGUGGUAUACGAUGGUUCCGCGUCUGAUUAGCUAGUUGGUGGGGUAAUGGCCUACCAAGGCAACGAUCAGUAGCCGGCCUGAGAGGGUGAACGGCCACAUUGGGACUGAGACACGGCCCAAACUCCUACGGGAGGCAGCAG